GAUGAACGCUAGCGGCAGGCUUAAUACAUGCAAGUCGAGGGGCAGCAUGAUUGUAGCAAUAAAAUUGAUGGCGACCGGCAAACGGGUGCGGAACACGUACACAACCCUCCAACAAGUGGGGGAUAGCCCAGCGAUAUUUGUAUUAAUACCCCGUAACAUAGCGAUGUGGCAUCACCUAGCUAUUAUCGAUUUUUCGCUUAUUGAUGGGUUUGCGGCUGAUUAGAUAGUUGGCGGGGUAACGGCCCACCAAGUCUACGUUCAGUAGCUGAUGUGAUAGCAUGAUCAGCCACACGGGCACUGAGACACGGGCCCGACUCCUACGGGAGGCAGCAGUAAGGAAUAUUGGACAAUGGACGCAAGUCUGAUCCAGCCAUGCCGCGUGAAGGAUUAAGGUCCUCUGGAUUGUAAACUUCUUUUAUAAGGGACGAAAAAAGGCUUUUCUAAGUCGUCUGACGGUACCUUAUGAAUAAGCACCGGCUAACUCCGUGCCAGCCGCCGCAGUAAGAC
rnacentral:rRNA from 1 species